GAUGAACGCUAGCGGCAGGCCUAACACAUGCAAGUCGAGGGGUAGAGGAAGCUUGCUUCCUUGAGACCGGCGCACGGGUGCGUAACGCGUAUGCAACCUACCUUUUACAGGGGAAUAGCCCAGAGAAAUUUGGAUUAAUGCCCCAUGGUAUAAUCGGAUGGCAUCAUUUGAUUAUUAAAGUUCCAACGGUAAAGAUGGGCAUGCGUCCUAUUAGCUAGAUGGUAAGGUAACGGCUUACCAUGGCUACGAUAGGUAGGGGUCCUGAGAGGGAGAUCCCCCACACUGGUACUGAGACAUGGACCAGACUCCUACGGGAGGCAGCAGUGAGGAAUAUUGGACAAUGGGCGCAAGCCUGAUCCAGCCAUGCCGCGUGCAGGAAGACGCAUCUAUGG
rnacentral:rRNA from 1 species